UCUAUGUCUUGGAAGGGCCCAAACACUCGCUCGGCGCAAGGGGUGGGGGCCUAGGGCGCCUGGGAUCCGCCCCUUGCUUCCCUCCCCGCGUAACCGCUGCCUGCCGCCCGCCAGCCCGGCUCCCGCACAUCUGGCGGUCCCACGCACAUCUGGGAAGCCUCUGGGAAGCCGGAGCUGGAGCAUGAACGACUCUCAGGGGGGCGCCGCGGCUUGGGCCGCCUGGCUGAGCUCCUGCUGCAACCAGUCCAAGGCGCCCCCCGAGGGGCCGCGCGCCGUGCAGGCGGCGGUGCUGGGCGUUCUGUCGUUGCUGGUGCUCUGCGGGGUCCUGUUUCUGGGCGGCGGCCUCCUCCUCCGUGCCCAGGGCCUAACAGCCCUGCUGGCCCGUGAGCAGCGCGCGUCCAGCGAGGCAGAGCCUGGCGGCGCCAGCGGAGGCAACGGCGACGACGACGACGACAACUAGACGCCUGGCUGCGCUUGGGGUUGCAGCCUCCAGGCAGCCCUGGGCUCUGCUCGGUGUCCUCCGGAGCACGCCCGACAGCUACUGCGGAGCCUGUAUCUUCCCGAUGCCGCGCCGGCGCCGGGCACAGAUUCCUGGGCCUUGCAUCAUCUGCCUACCAGGGAGCUCUCUCUCCUGCUGCCGCACUGGGGAACCCCUGCCACCUUCAGCCCAUUCUUGGUGCAGAUGACAGACUGGGAGACACCUGGAUUGUGUGAGACCUCAACCUGGAAUCCUUGCAUCCAGCUCUUGCCUCUGACCUGCUCCAUGCCACCCUGGAGUGCUCCUGUUGUGGGGGCAGGGCGCUCUUGGGAGGUCCACACUGCCAGAGGGAAUGAGCCCACUUGGGACUGCUGCGUGUCCUGGGCACUGAAGUGGCCACACAACCCUGCAUGCUUGGGGCGGGAGGGGUGCAGGGAGAGAGAAGCUGGCUGUGACCGCUGCCUGCUGGGCCUCUCUCCCAUCUGAUGUGGGGCAGCAAGGAUCUGACAGGCCAGUAAACCUGUCCCUGCUGAGGGCUGUGGGUCAGUGUCACCCAUGUGGAGGCCCGGGGUGCUCCAGCGAUCCAGCAAUGUCCCAUGACUUUCUGUGGCUUGUUAUUAAAUAUGCUUGUGAUAUA